rnacentral:rRNA from 1 species
CAGCCGCCGCGGGAAUACGGAGGGGGCUAGCGUUGUUCGGAAUUACUGGGCGUAAAGCGCACGUAGGCGGCUUGGUGAGUUAGAGGUGAAAGCCUGGAGCUCAACUCCAGAAUUGCCUUUAAGACUGCCGAGCUAGUAGGUGAGAGAGGUGAGUGGAAUUUCCGGUGUAGCGGUGAAAUGCGUAGAUAUCGGAAGGAACACCUGUGGCGAAAGCGGCUCACUGGACCAUUUCUGACGCUGAUGCACGAAAGCUAGGGGAGCAAACACGAUUAGAUACCCGAGUAGUCCCUGUCUCUUAUAA